rnacentral:rRNA from 1 species
AUUGAACGCUGGCGGCAGGCUUAACACAUGCAAGUCGAGCGGGGUGAUGGUGCUUGCACUAUCACUUAGCGGCGGACGGGUGAGUAAUGCUUAGGGAUCUGCCUAUUAGUGGGGGACAACAUCUCGAAAGGGAUGCUAAUACCGCAUACGUCCUACGGGAGAAAGCAGGGGAUCACUUGUGACCUUGCGCUAAUAGAUGAGCCUAAGUCGGAUUAGCUAGUUGGUGGGGUAAAGGCCUACCAAGGCGACGAUCUGUAGCGGGUCUGAGAGGAUGAUCCGCCACACUGGGACUGAGACACGGCCCAGACUCCUACGGGAGGCAGCAGUGGGGAAUAUUGGACAAUGGGCGGAAGCCUGAUCCAGCCAUGCCGCGUGUGUGAAGAAGGCCUUUUGGUUGUAAAGCACUUUAAGCGAGGAGGAGGCUACCUGGAUUAAUACUCUAGGAUAGUGGACGUUACUCGCAGAAUAAGCACCGGCUAACUCUGUGCCAGCAGCCGCCGCCG